AUGCAAACCGACACAGAAUUGUUUACCGCCUAUGCAAACAAUGGGCAAAUUUUGAUUUCUGACCUUGAAACGGCGAUCCGAGCUUCCAAAGCCCCAGACGGCGAUUUCCUGAGACGGUUCAUUCUGUACGCAAUUGGUACUGUUCUAGCACCAACAGCACAACAUUAUGUGGACUCGAAAUUUCUCAACCUUGUUACAGAUCUUCAAAACCUUCGGAAAUUUAACUGGGGAUGUUUCACACUUAAUCACUUCUUCAAGUCCGUUCACAAGUUUAGAAAUCGAUAUCACGUAAAUCUACAAGGAAAUCUAAUUCUGCUCCAGUAUUGGUACUGGGAGCACGUGCGUAGUGGCCGAUUGAUGUAUGCUUCUAGACCCCUACCAUUGAUCGCACGAUGGGACGAAAUGACGGCUACUUUAAGAAGCGAUGCUUACGACAAAGGAGGUCUUCAUAACGGGCUGAUUGACAUGGUAGUUGAAGCCAUGAAUGCACGCUUAGCUGAUCAUGAAAAGAAGGUAGGCAGGAAGUUAAUGGAAAUUGAGCACAGAUUUGAUGUCAAAUACCAGACGCUAGGUGAAGACUUGAUCGACAUGAAGACUAAAACUGGCACUAAUCCUAGGUUGUCGAAGGCCGAGGACGAAAUUAAAGACUUAAGGAGGGAACUACAUGAAUUAAAAUACGAAUUUAGAAGCAACCGACAAUCAGUGUCACAGAAAGGAGGCGUGCAGGUGAUCUUUAUGGCCCAACACGUUAAUAUCUAA
rnacentral:rRNA from 1 species